rnacentral:rRNA from 1 species
AUGGGAACGCGAAGAACCUUACCUACUCUUGACAUCCAGAGAACUUUCCAGAGAUGGAUUGGUGCCUUCGGGAACGUCUGAGACAGGUGCUGCAUGGCUGUCGUCAGCUCGUGUUGUGAAAUGUUGGGUUAAGUCCCGCAACGAGCGCAACCCGUUAUCCUUUGUUGCCAGCGGUUAGGCCGGGAACUCAAAGGAGACUGCCAGUGAUAAACUGGAGGAAGGUGGGGAUGACGUCAAGUCAUCAUGGCCCUUACGAGUAGGGCUACACACGUGCUACAAUGGCGCAUACAAAGAGAAACGACCUCGCGAGAGCAAGCGGACCUCAUAAAGUGCGUCGUAGUCCGGAUUGGAGUCUGCAACUCGACUCCAUGAAGUCGGAAUCGCUAGUAAUCGUAGAUCAGAAUGCUACGGUGAAUACGUU